GGGGGCGACCGGUUUCGACGGGAUAGAAACGUCGGUCAAUUGCAUGCAGAGGUGUCCGGGACCUCUUUAAACCCCUGGAAACACCAUAAGUGCCGAUUACGGCUAUAUGGCUGCCGCUUAAUCCGGUAGUCCGUUCUCGGUAGGAUUCGCCUGUGGUCCUGCCUGAGGGCGUCAUCCUCACAGGCUGGUUGGUUUUAGAGUCCGGAUAAAACCAACGAGAAUUCACGGACUGGCUCAGAGAGGCAGGGUCGCUGGUGUCUCUGUGAGCGAGACCUCCCCAGCAGACUAAGCAUGUAGACGUUGGCUGAGGUUCUAUUUCGGACGGGGGUUCGACUCCCCCCGCCUCCACGU
rnacentral:tmRNA from 1 species